GACGAACGCUGGCGGCGUGCCUAAUACAUGCAAGUCGAACGCUUUUUCUUUCACCGGAGCUUGCUCCACCGAAAGAAAAGGAGUGGCGAACGGGUGAGUAACACGUGGGUAACCUACCCUCCAGCGGGGGAUAACACUUGGAAACAGGUGCUAAUACCGCAUAAUAGAGAAAACCGCCUGGUUUUCUUUUGAAAGGCGCAAUUGCGUCACUGGAGGAUGGACCCGGGGUGCAUAAGCUAGUUGGUGAGGUAACGGCUCACCAAGGCGACGAUGCAUAGCCGACCUGAGAGGGUGAUCGGCCACACUGGGACUGAGACACGGCCCAGACUCCUACGGGAGGCAGCAGUAGGGAAUCUUCGGCAAUGGACGAAAGUCUGACCGAGCAACGCCGCGUGAGUGAAGAAGGUUUUCGGAUCGUAAAACUCUGUUGUUAGAGAAGAAUAAGGUGGAGAGUGGAAAGUUCCACCCUUGACGGUAUCUAACCAGAAAGCCACGGCUAACUACGUGCCAGCCGCCGCAGUAAUAC
rnacentral:rRNA from 1 species